rnacentral:rRNA from 1 species
AUUGAACGCUGGCGGCAGGCCUAACACAUGCAAGUCGAGCGGAGCGGCGGACGGGUGAGUAAUGCCUAGGAAUCUGCCUGGUAGUGGGGGAUAACGUCCGGAAACGGGCGCUAAUCCCGCAUACUAUCAGAUGAGCCUAGGUCGGAUUAGCUUGUUGGUGGGGUGAUGGCCUACCAAGGCGGUGACGGGUAGCCGGCCUGAGAGGGUGACCGGCCACAUUGGGACUGAGAUACGGCCCAGACUCCUACGGGAGGCAGCAGUGGGGAAUAUUGGACAAUGGGCGAAAGCCUGAUCCAGCCAUGCCGCGUGUGUGAAGAAGGUCUUCGGAUUGUAAAGCACUUUAAGUUGGGAGGCGUUACCAACAGAAUAAGCACCGGCUAACUUCGUGCCAGCCGCCGCGGUAAUUC